AGUUUGAUCCGUGGCUCAGGACGAACGCUGGCGGCGUGCCUAACACAUGCAAGUCGAGCGGGGACAUGCGACGGAUAGGAAGUUUUCGGAUGGAAUUGAAGAUGUAUGUUCUAGCGGCGGACGGGUGAGUAACGCGUGAACAAUCUGUCCUUCACAGGGGGAUAACACAGCGAAAGUUGUACUAAUACCGCAUGAGACCACGGUGAGGCAUCUUACAGGGGUCAAAGGAGCAAUCCGGUGAAGGGUGAGUUCGCGUCCGAUUAGAUAGUUGGUGAGGUAACGGCCCCACCAAGUCGACGAUCGGUAGCCGACCUGAGAGGGUGAUCGGCCACAUUGGGACUGAGACACGGCCCAGACUCCUACGGGAGGCAGCAGUGGGGAAUAUUGGGCAAUGGGGGCAACCCUGACCCAGCAACGCCGCGUGAAGGAAGAAGGCUUUCGGGUUGUAAACUUCUUUUAUCAGGGACGAUAAUGACGGUACCUGAUGAAUAAGCCACGGCUAACUACGUGCC
rnacentral:rRNA from 1 species